rnacentral:lncRNA from 1 species
UAUACGUUAGCUGUCAGCUCUCACUCAGGUUCUAAGACUUUCUUUAAAUACUAACUUAAUUUCAGAUCUGAGGAAUUAAGUACUUAAUAAGGAAUGUUUAAAACAAGGUCUUUCAUAUCAGUGGAGAAGAUUAAUGAUUGCUAAGGAAGAUACCAUAAUUACAUUGGAAAAUAAUUGUUAUAUUUGUUGCCAAAAUUUCAUGUUCAGUUCUGGCUUGAUUUGUUUGUGGGAGUAGAAACAGGAUUCAUUGUUUUACCUGGCUAGCCCGUAACUAACUCGGCAGCACACGUGCAGGAAGACACUGGAGCGACGGUGCUCGCCACUGAGUGGUUUCGGUUAUUAUCAGCUCACUUCAUUUCUGAGUGUUUUGAGUGGAGCAAUGUACAUGUUAAAAGCAUGUUGCAUUAGAUAUAAAUUCAGUUUUUUAAACUCUUACUGCAGAAAUAUUUUUCUUAAACAUAAUAUGUAACAGAAUUCUCCACUUUGCAGUUUAUGUGACCCACAGUUUUAAAGAUAUUCCAUAAAUGUAUAUUUUGUAUUAUGUACCAUUUCCUGGUCCAAAGAAAAUAUGUGAACUCAGUUCUAAUUUUAAGAAUGUACCUUUUGUUUUCUAGUUCUUUGAAAAAUUGCAUUCAGCCUGUGAAUGGUUACAGAUUGUAUGUGAGAUGAAAAGCAGAGAUCUCUGGUUUGCAAAAUCAGUGCCAUGAAAUAAAACAGGCAACUGCAUCA